CUUCAGGCUCCUUCUCCCCCUCUGCCCCUUCCUCCCCGCCCUGGAGGAUUUCUUUCUUUUCCUCAGCCCCUUGACCAGGCUGCUCUCCUUCCAUCAUUUCUUGGGCUUUUAUAGGGCUCGUCUUCCUGUUGGCUUCUUCUCCUUCAUUGGCUACGUCGGCUGUGUUAUCCGUGGCGUUCUCAAACUUGGUUUCUGAGAAUUGUGUCUCACUCUUUUCGGUAGGGUUACUUUUCUCAGCAGAUAAUGAUUUCUUCUUUUCGUAACCUUCUGACCCUUCUUCUUUUGGAAGUUCCUCAGUCAGUUCUUGGUCUUUGCUCUUUGCGACCCCUUCAAUCACCAGCCAUAAGGCUUUGCCGUGGUCCAGGAGCUCAUCACCUUCAGGAGUCUUCACACCUAAAGUCUGCUCAUCUUCUGUGGCCAGAAGCUGAUCAAAUUCUGCUCCUGAGGUCAGCUCGCCUUCUGUUCCUGAGGUCACCUGGCCUUCUAGCGUGGAGGCCAGCUCCUCUUCUGCCCCUGGAGUCACCUGGCCUUCUGGCCCAGAGGUCAGCUCGUCUUCUGCCACUGAGGCCUGCGGGCCUUCUGCCUCUGAGGUCAGCUCACCUUCUGCCGCUGAGGCCUGCUGGCCUUCUGCCUCUGAGGUCAGCUCACCUUCUGCCGCUGAGGCCUGCUGGCCUUCUGCCUCUGAGGCCAGCUCCUCUUCUGCUCCUGGGGUCACCUGGUCUUCUGGCCCAGAGGUCAGCUCGCCUUCUGCCCCUGAGGCCUGCUGGCCUUCUGCCUCUGAGGUCAGCUCACCUUCUGCUCCUGAGGCCUGCUGGCCUUCUGCCUCUGAGGUCAGCUCACCUUCUGCUCCUGAGGCCUGCUGGCCUGCCUCUGAGGUCAGCUCACCUUCUGCUCCUGAGGCCUGCUGGCCUUCUGCCUCUGAGGUCAACUCCCCUUCUGCCCCUGAAGUUUGCUGGCCUUCUGCCUCUGAGGUCAACUGGCCUUCUGGCCCUGAGAUCUGCUGGCCUUCUUGCCCUGAGGUCGGCUGGCCUUCUACUUCUGAGGUCAGAUCCUCUUCUGCCUCUGAGGUCGGCUGAUCUUCUGAGGUUUGCGGGGCUUCUGGCCCAGAGGUCUCCUCCCCUUCUACUCCUGAGAUCUCCUCACCUUGGGCCUCUAAGAUCUCCUCACCUUGGGCCUCUAAAAUCUGCUUGCCUUCUGUCUCUGAGGUCUCUGCUUCUACCCCUGAAGUGUGCUUGCUUUCUGACUCCGAGGUCUCCUCCUGUACCACUGGGGUCUGCUGGCCUGACUUUGAAGACCGCCUGCUUUCUGCCCUUGAGGGCCGCUUGCUUUCUGCCCCUGAGGGCCGCUUGCUUUCUGUUCCUGAGGGCCUCCUGCUUUCCCCAAGCGAGGGCUUCCUGCUUUCCCCAAGUGAGGGCCGCCUGCUUUCCAAGAGUGAGGGCCGCCUGCUUUCCGUACCGGAGGGCCGCCUGCUUUUGUGGGAGGGCUUCCUGCUU
rnacentral:lncRNA from 1 species